UACGUAGGGGGCUAGCGUUGUCCGGAAUCAUUGGGCGUAAAGAGCUCGUAGGUGGUUUGGUGAGUCGGAUGUGAAAUCUCCAGGCUCAACUUGGAGGGGUCAUCCGAUACUGCCAUGACUAGAGUUCGGUAGAGGAGUGUGGAAUUCCUGGUGGAGUGGUGAAAUGCGCAGAGAUCAGGAGGAACACCUAUGGCGAAGGCAGCUCUCUGGGACGGUACUGACGCUGAGACGCGAAAGCGUGGGGAGCGAACAGG
rnacentral:rRNA from 1 species